ensembl:snoRNA Small nucleolar RNA SNORA40
AGCACUUGUGUUUGGUUUUGUUUAAUUUGUGGACAAAGACUUAAACAAGUGCGAAAGUAAAUCCUCUUUUGCAACCCACAACUCAUUGUUCAGUAUGAGUUUUGAUACAGAUAAGAAGGAACAUG